UUUAAUUGACGGGGAGAGACGCAAAAAAAGCACUUUGUCUAGAAAGGUAACUGCGGGGGUGUUGAUCUAUCACGGUUCCGUGCUAGCACCUGUUGCAGGCAACGUCAGAGCUUGGGUUCUGGAUGACUAAAGUGGCGUGGCAUUUAACAGUAACAUUCAAAGCAAGAUUUCACAUCCUGGCAAAGGCGCUACCUUUAUUAAUGAGCUAUUUACUGGUAGCUAGUGCGGGUGCCGAGUUAACAUAACUUGUUGGCGCUGUUCCCUGGGCUCACCAAAAUACAAAUUUAGCAGUCAGUGCAGUAGUUGACAAUUAAGGGUUGUCUUGCAACUUUGCGUACCCGGUACUGAUUCUAACCUCCUGCGUUACAUUCUAAGAUAAUGCUCCAAACACCUAUUAGAAUGUUCCACUUUAUAGCGCAUAGUAAUGUCGGUUUGCCUCUAUAAUUAACGAUCUGUUAAUGAAUUUGCGUUCUCCGUAAUUGUAACCCACAUUUUUCGAUCGGAGUUAAAUUCCAGAUGGGACCACGAGUCUGAAAUCAUUGUCAAUUUACUUUCCCGAGGUCCUGUGUCAAAUCCGCGACUUUGAGGAAUGCCGCCGACGGGAAUCUCCACGAACGUGCGGUGGAGAGCAUUCGAACUGGCUGCGUCGCCGUCUGGUGUCAGGGGCCACUGCACAGGAUCGAAAAAAUAAAGCCGCAGAAAGUUGCAAACUCAGGCAGCUCCAUCGUCAGUACUAGCUUGCCCAGCGUCGAGGACAUCUUCAAAAGGAGACGCCUCAGAAAAGCGGCCCCCAAUAGCAAGGACCCCCACAAAGGACAAGCUUUCUCAUUGCUAUCAUCAGAGUUAAAAAAUUGGAAGGUGUAUCUUUACCGCGCUACCUCGUUAACGGAAAAGCUAUUCGCUGUGAGGAUUCGUGGAAGCUUUGAAAAGUUCAACUUAAGAAAAUACAAUUUCGUUAGCUAGUGUUCGGUUAUGAAAGAAAACAGCCUUUUUUUUCUUGGAGAAAACCCUUACACAUGGGAAAUUUCAAAUGGUGGCAUUUAUAAUGGAAUGACGAGGUGUGUGUAAGGCAAGAUUUUCCUGUGGGUGGAUGGUGUAAGUUCAUUUCAAUUUUCUGAAAUUCAUUCCGUGUGGUUUUCUAUCGCUCGCAGGAGUUCCCAGCCUCGGGUCCACGGUUCCCUUGCUUAAUGGUAUUAGUCCAUGUCAUAAAAAAGAUAGGGACCCCCCUCCCACCUCUACUAUUGACGAAGAACCAGCUUGCUGAUUCUCUUUUCGAACUUUAUUCCAGGAAUGAAAUUUUACUUGCCCGAUUUGAUAAGACGCAGUUUUGCCAAGUUAGCAGAAAGCCCACCGAACUGUCUAAUGCAUCAUAGGGGAACAGUCUGCCCAUUCCCCUGCUAGGUCGCCUCCUCCUUCAGUCCCACCCCGAAACCUGGGUGAUGCGCGGAGGCAGGAAAUUCGCGUCUAACCCAUGUGACAGACACCAAAAUAAACACCAGACGCGAAUCCCUCGCACGUUUCGAUGGAAAUUGCAUCAACCCCUUGUCGAUGAACUGACUCAAGGCGGCCCCCUUUAGCUGGCCCGGUAAAAUGCAGGUUUCAGCAAUAUGCAAAUCGAUGUUUGUCAGGGAUAAAGAUAUGGUCUUCGAUGCGGGAAUUAGAACUGUCAAGCAUGUGGGGGACUUAAAAAAAAAACAACCAAACAAAAUCCCAAUCGAAUCUGUUUCUACUCGAGUCCAGAGUUCAUUCGAAGAAUGACUCGCAGCAAUAUCCCAAUAAGACCGGGGAGAACUGACUGCCCGAUAUAGUCAUCAGUCAACAUCGCAAAACGGUUCUGAGUUGUUCGGAGAGCUACGAUAAACCUCGUCUACAAUUAAACUCAAUCACUCAAUCGCGAACUGGAUCCGAAUGCGGGGAGGGAAAACUCUCACAGUUAGUAAACAUUUGUCCAUUUAAAGAAAAUUGCAAUUGAAUAUAUUUUAUUGCAAUCAAUAUAGGCUGUAAAUUUAACUGCAUUUUAAUACAACGUGAAGCAGAUGUGUUGGGGAUUUAUAUGUGUGACAGAAAUUUACUAAACCAUAGCACGGGGACUUAAGUUUAAUUAUGUCAAGCAGAAAAUAAAAUAGCCGGGUCUCCGGCGGUAAAAUGCGCAA